rnacentral:rRNA from 1 species
GACGAACGCUGGCGGCGUGCCUAACACAUGCAAGUCGAACGGAACUGUUUUGAAAGAUUUCUUCGGAAUGAAUUUGAUUUAGUUUAGUGGCGGACGGGUGAGUAACGCGUGAGUAACCUGCCUUCAAGAGGGGAAUAACAUUCUGAAAAGAAUGCUAAUACCGCAUGACAUAUCGGAACCACAUGGUUUUGAUAUCAAAGAUUUUAUCGCUUGAAGAUGGACUCGCGUCCGUUUAGUUAGUUGGUGAGGUAACGGCUCACCAAGACCGCGAUCGGUAGCCGGACUGAGAGGUUGAACGGCCACAUUGGGACAGAGACACGGCCCAGACUCCUACGGGAGGCAGCAGUGGGGGAUAUUGCGCAAUGGGGGCAACCCUGACGCAGCAACGCCGCGUGAAGGAUGAAGGUUGUCGGAUUGGAAACUUCUUUUAUUAAGGACGAAAAAUGACGGUACUUAAUGAAUAAGCACCGGCUAACUACGUG